AACAGGAUUAGAUACCCUGGUAGUCCACGCCGUAAACGAUGUCGAUUUGGAGGUUGUGCCCUUGAGGCGUGGCUUCCGGAGCUAACGCGUUAAAUCGACCGCCUGUGGAGUACGGCCGCAAGGUUAAAACUCAAAUGAAUUGACGGGGGCCCGCACAAGCGGUGGAGCAUGUGGUUUAAUUCGAUGCAACGCGAAGAACCUUACCUGGUCUUGACAUCCACAGAACUUAGCAGAGAUGCUUUGGUGCCUUCGGGAACUGUGAGACAGGUGCUGCAUGGCUGUCGUCAGCUCGUGUUGUGAAAUGUUGGGUUAAGUCCCGCAACGAGCGCAACCCUUAUCCUUUGUUGCCAGCGGUCCGGCCGGGAACUCAAAGGAGACUGCCAGUGAUAAACUGGAGGAAGGUGGGGAUGACGUCAAGUCAUCAUGGCCCUUACGACCAGGGCUACACACGUGCUACAAUGGCAUAUACAAAGAGAAGCGACCUCGCGAGAGCAAGCGGACCUCAUAAAGUAUGUCGUAGUCCGGAUUGGAGUCUGCAACUCGACUCCAUGAAGUCGGAAUCGCUAGUAAUCGUAGAUCAGAAUGCUACGGUGAAUACGUUCCCGGGCCUUGUACACACCGCCCGUCACACCAUGGGAGUGGGUUGCAAAAGAAGUAGGUAGCUUAACCUUCGGGAGGGCGCGUGACCACUUUGUGAUUCAUGACUGGGGUGAAGUCGUAACAAGGUAUC
rnacentral:rRNA from 1 species